GAUGAACGCUGGCGGCGUGCCUAAUACAUGCAAGUCGAGCGAACAGACGAGGAACUUGCCCCACUGCCGUUAGCGGCGGAUGGGUGAGUAACACGUAGCUAACCUACCUAUCAGAAUGGGAUCACUUAAGGAAACCGGAGGUAAUAGCGGGUAAUAUGUGGAACCGCAUGGGUCAAUAGUGAAAGGAGAUUUUGCUGUCACUUAUACAUGUAUCCGCGCCGCAUUAGCUAGUUGGUAAGGUGACGGCUUACCAAGGCAACGAUGCGUAGCAGACCUGAGAGUGUUUUCCGCCACACCGGAACUGAGACACGGUCCAGACUCCUACGGGAGGCAGCAGUACGGAAUCUUCAGCAAUGGGCGAAAGCCUUACGGAGCAACGCCGCGUGAGUGACGAAGGUCUUCGGAUCGUAAAACCCUGUUACUAGGGAAGAACAAUUGUGUAUUUAGCUAUUCCCGUCUUGACGGUACCUAAACAGAAAGCUUCGGCUAACUCCGUG
rnacentral:rRNA from 1 species